rnacentral:rRNA from 1 species
UACAGAGGGGGCAAGCGUUGUUCGGAAUUACUGGGCGUAAAGGGCGCGUAGGCGGCCGCCUAAGUCAGACGUGAAAUCCCUCGGCUCAACCGGGGAACUGCGUCUGAUACUGGGUGGCUUGAAUUCGGGAGAGGGAUGCGGAAUUCCAGGUGUAGCGGUGAAAUGCGUAGAUAUCUGGAGGAAUACCGGUGGCGAAGGCGGCAUCCUGGACCGGCAUUGACGCUGAGGAGCGAAAGCCAGGGGAGCAAACGGG